GGGCCCGCACAAGCGGUGGAGUAUGUGGUUUAAUUCGAUGAUACGCGAGGAACCUUACCUGGGCUCUAAUGCGAGUGACCGCUCCUGAAAGGGAGCUUUCCUUCGGGACACGAAGCAAGGUGCUGCAUGGUUGUCGUCAGCUCGUGCCGUGAGGUGUUGGGUUAAGUCCCGCAACGAGCGCAACCCCUAUCUUUAGUUGCCAGCGAUUCGGUCGGGGACUCUAGAGAGACUGCCUGCGCAAGCAGAGAGGAAGGCGGGGACGACGUCAAAUCAUCAUGGCCUUUAUGCCCAGGGCUACACACGUGCUACAAUGGUAAGGACAAAGGGCAGCGAGCCGGCGACGGUCAGCGAAUCCCAAAAACUUAUCUCAGUUCGGAUUGGAGUCUGCAACUCGACUCCAUGAAGCUGGAAUCGCUAGUAAUCGUAGGUC
rnacentral:rRNA from 1 species